UCAGGAUCAGCCGCGGCGGAGAGAUCGACAUCAGCCGGAAUCCAGACGUCGCCGUUCAUCACCUUGCCGAUCGCCUCGCGCAAGGUCUCAACGCCAAAGCGCUUGGGUAUGAAGCCGGACGCGCCGAAUUCCAUCGACCGGCGGAUGGUACUGGCGUCGUCGCUGGCCGACACAAUGACGACCGGGAUCGCCGGGAAUUGCGCGCGCAGAUAAAUCAGCCCGGAGAAACCGCUGAUUCCCGGCAUCGACAGAUCG
rnacentral:misc_RNA from 1 species